UGGGGAAUAUUGCACAAUGGAGGGAACUCUGAUGCAGCGACGCCGCGUGAACGAAGAAGGCUUUCGAGUCGUAAAGUUCUUUUAUAUGGGAAGAUAAUGACGGUACCAUAAGAAAAAGCCCCGGCUAACUACGUGCCAGCAGCCGCGGUAAUACGUAGGGGGCUAGCGUUGUCCGGAAUCACUGGGCGUAAAGGGUUCGCAGGCGGAAAUGCAAGUCAGGUGUAAAAGGCAGUAGCUUAACUACUGUAAGCAUUUGAUACUGCAUAUCUUGAGAAGAGUAGAGGUAAGUGGAAUUUUUAGUGUAGCGGUGAAAUGCGUAGAUAUUAAAAAGAAUACCGGUGGCGAAGGCGACUUACUGGGCUCAUUCUGACGCUGAGGAACGAAAGCGUGGGUAGCAAACAGG
rnacentral:rRNA from 2 species